rnacentral:rRNA from 1 species
GACGAACGCUGGCGGCGUGCUUAACACAUGCAAGUCGAACGGAAAGGCCCUGCUUUUGUGGGGUGCUCGAGUGGCGAACGGGUGAGUAACACGUGAGUAACCUGCCCCUGACUUUGGGAUAACUUCAGGAAACUGGGGCUAAUACCGGAUAGGAGCUCCUGCUGCAUGGUGGGGGUUGGAAAGUUUCGGCGGUUGGGGAUGGACUCGCGGCUUAUCAGCUUGUUGGUGGGGUAGUGGCUUACCAAGGCUUUGACGGGUAGCCGGCCUGAGAGGGUGACCGGCCACAUUGGGACUGAGAUACGGCCCAGACUCCUACGGGCGGCAGCAGUGGGGAAUAUUGCACAAUGGGCGGAAGCCUGAUGCAGCAACGCCGCGUGCGGGAUGACGGCCUUCGGGUUGUAAACCGCUUUCGCCUGUGACGAAGCGUGAGUGACGGUAAUGGGUAAAGAAGCACCGGCUAACUACGUG